rnacentral:rRNA from 1 species
CGAAAGCCUGACGGAGCAACGCCGCGUGAGGGAUGGAGGCCUUUGGGCUGUAAACCUCUUUUCUCAAGGAAGAAGAUCUGACGGUACUUGAGGAAUAAGCCACGGCUAAUUCCGCGCCAGCAGCCGCGGUAAUACGGGAGUGGCAAGCGUUAUCCGGAAUUAUUGGGCGUAAAGCGUCCGCAGGCGGCCGUUUAAGUCUGUUAUUAAAUCGUGGAGCUCAACUCCAUCACGGCAAUGGAAACUGUUCGGCUUGAGUAUGGUAGGGGCAGAGGGAAUUUCCGGUGUAGCGGUGAAAUGCGUAGAUAUCGGGAAGAACACCAGUGGCGAAAGCGCUCUGCUGGGCCAUUACUGACGCUCAUGGACGAAAGCCAGGGGAGCGAAAGGGAUUAGAUACCCCUGUAGUCCUGGCCGUAAACGAUGAACACUAGAUGUUGGGGGAAUCGACCCCCUCGGUGUCGUAGCUAACGCGUUAAGUGUUCCGCCUGGGGAGUACGCACGCAAGUGUGAAACUCAAAGGAAUUGACGGGGGCCCGCACAAGCGGUGGAGUAUGUGGUUUAAUUCGAUGCAACGCGAAGAACCUUACCAAGGCUUGUCAUCCUGCGAAUCUCUAAGAAAUUAGAGAGUGCCUUCGGGAACGCAGUGACAGGUGGUGCAUGGCUGUCGUCAGCUCGUGUCGUGAGAUGUUGGGUUAAGUCCCGCAACGAGCGCAACCCACGUUUUUAGUUGCCAGCAUUCAGUUGGGCACUCUAGAAAGACUGCCGGUGACAAACCGGAGGAAGGUGUGGACGACGUCAAGUCAUCAUGCCCCUUACGCCUUGGGCUACACACGUACUACAAUGCUGCGGACAAAGAGUAGCGAUCUUGCGAAAGUUAGCUAAUCUCAUAAACCGUGGCUCAGUUCAGAUCGUAGGCUGCGACUCGCCUACGUGAAGGAGGAAUCGCUAGUAAUCGCAGGUCAGCAUACUGCGGUGAAUACGUUCCCGGGCCUUGUACACACCGCCCGUCACACCAUGGAAGUUGGCCAUGCCCGAAGUCGUUACUCUAACCUUUUGGAAGAGGGCGCCGAAGGCAGGGCUAAUGACUGGGGUGAAGUCGUAACAAGGUAGCCGUAGCGGAAGCUGCGGCUGGAUCACCUCCUAA